rnacentral:rRNA from 1 species
CCUACGGGAGGCAGCAGUGGGGAAUCUUGCGCAAUGGGCGAAAGCCUGACGCAGCCAUGCCGCGUGAAUGAUGAAGGUCUUAGGAUUGUAAAAUUCUUUCACCGAGGACGAUAAUGACGGUACUCGGAGAAGAAGCCCCGGCUAACUUCGUGCCAGCAGCCGCGGUAAUACGAAGGGGGCUAGCGUUGCUCGGAAUUACUGGGCGUAAAGGGAGCGUAGGCGGAUAGUUUAGUCAGAGGUGAAAGCCCAGGGCUCAACCUUGGAAUUGCCUUUGAUACUGGCUAUCUUGAGUACGGAAGAGGUAUGUGGAACUCCGAGUGUAGAGGUGAAAUUCGUAGAUAUUCGGAAGAACACCAGUGGCGAAGGCGACAUACUGGUCCGUUACUGACGCUGAGGCUCGAAAGCGUGGGGAGCAAACAGGAUUAGAUACCCUGGUAGUCCACGCUGUAAACGAUGAGUGCUAGUUGUCGGCAUGCAUGCAUGUCGGUGACGCAGCUAACGCAUUAAGCACUCCGCCUGGGGAGUACGGUCGCAAGAUUAAAACUUAAAGGAAUUGACGGCUGAGACGNGCGAGACGACGACGAGGGAGAGG